rnacentral:rRNA from 1 species
UAGUAAUCGCGGAUCAGCAUGCCGCGGUGAAUACGUUCUCGGGCCUUGUACACACCGCCCGUCACACCAUGGGAGUCGGUAACACCCGAAGUCUGUAGCCUGACGCAAGAGGGCGCAGCCGAAGGUGGGAUUGAUGACUGGGGUGAAGUCGUAACAAGGUAUC